CGCUUUGAAUCGAGUAUAAAGCGAACUCGAAACGAAGUUAACAGUCGUUCCCGAAAGUAAACACCAAAGGUAACAUCAUGAAGACUGCCUGCCUAGUUGCUCUCCUGAUCACUUGCGUUAUCAUGGUCAGCAUACCAGUGACUGAAGCCCAAGGUUACCUUCCUCCAAACCGUGACUGCCAUUGCAGUAGUGGACGGUGUCCUUACGGAACGCGUUACUCCGGUCCGUGUCCAUACAACUCAUAUCAGAAGAAUUGCUGUAGAAAUUAUUGAGGACCACCAAAGCACACCAGACCACAUUGACAUUCAAAUGUUCUGGUUAGGUUGAAUCAAUAAAACAGCCUUAUAUUUUA